GACAGAGGUUGCAAACGUUGUUCGGAAUUACUGGGCAUAAAGCGCACGUAGGCGGUCCGUUAAGUCAUGUGUGAAAUCCCCCGGCUCAACCGGGGAAUUGCGCCUGAUACUGGCGGGCUAGAGGUCGAUAGGGGUGAGCGGAACUCCAGGUGGAGCGGUGAAAUGCGUAGAUAUCUGGAGGAACACCGGUGGCGAAAGCGGCUUACUGGAUCGAAACUGACGCUGAGGUGCGAAAGCUAGGGUAGCAAACGGG
rnacentral:rRNA from 1 species